UACGGAGGAUCCAAGCGUUAUCCGGAUUUAUUGGGUUUAAAGGGUGCGUAGGCGGCCUAUUAAGUCAGGGGUGAAAGACGGUAGCUUAACUAUCGCAGUGCCUUUGAUACUGAUAGGCUUGAAUAUACUUGAGAUAGGCGGAAUGUGACAAGUAGCGGUGAAAUGCAUAGAUAUGUCACAGAACACCAAUUGCGAAGGCAGCUUACUAAAGUAUGAUUGACGCUGAGGCACGAAAGCGUGGGGAUCAAACAGG
rnacentral:rRNA from 1 species